GACGAACGCUGGCGGCGUGCUUAACACAUGCAAGUCGAACGGAAAGGCCCUGCUUUUGUGGGGUGCUCGAGUGGCGAACGGGUGAGUAACACGUGAGUAACCUGCCCUUGACUUUGGGAUAACUUCAGGAAACUGGGGCUAAUACCGGAUAGGAGCUCCUGCUGCAUGGUGGGGGUUGGAACGUUUCGGCGGUUGGGGAUGGACUCGCGGCUUAUCAGCUUGUUGGUGGGGUAGUGGCUUACCAAGGCUUUGACGGGUAGCCGGCCUGAGAGGGUGACCGGCCACAUUGGGACUGAGAGACGGCCCAGACUCCUAAGGGAGGAAGCAGUGGGGAAUAUUGCACAAUGGGCGGAAGCCUGAUGCAGCAACGCCGCGUGCGGGAUGACGGCCUUCGGGUUGUAAACCGCUUUCGCCUGUGACGAAGCGUGAGUGAAGGUAAUGGGUAAAGAAGCACCGGCUAACUACGUG
rnacentral:rRNA from 1 species